CAUAUACUGCUAUACGGUAUCAUAGUUUUUAUGACAAACAUAAGUGAUUCAUGUUAACUUAUUUCUGCGUCAACUCUUAUGUUGAUAUUUUACACACCGGAAGUGUUUUCUGACGGCUGCGAUUGGUGUAUACGAAGAUACUAACUUUCAUAUCCAUGCAGGCUACUGAAACUAAACUGUCAGGACAAUGGAAAAGGUUUUAUGUGAUGUCCACGGCAGCCUGUGUAUGUUAAAAACGGGCGUUAAGGACGGUCCAAGUAAAGGAAAAAGCUUCUACGUCUGCGUUGACAAGCAAGGCUGUACAUUCAGUGAAGUGGCCAGUGUCUCCCCAUCCCACUGCAUCCAACAUGAAGAUUCGAUGGUGGAACUGCAAGCUCUCACCUACAAUCUGCAACAGCAGAGCCACAGGUUGUUCUACAGGUGUGUUGUUGGUAAAAAAGCUGGCCAGAGGUGGUGUGGAAACGUGCCUUGGACUGCACCAGAGAAGGAAAAGAGAAACCCUCUAUCUGACAAACCGCUGCAGCCCUCUUGCCUGCUGCCUGUCCGAAACCCCUUCAAAGCACCUGGCAAGCUGGACAAGGACUCUGAGCGGAGAGGGAUACAGUGCGGUGAAAGUGCUGAGAAGAAAAGUGGGGAAAAAGAAGCAAGUCUCAAGGCUGAAGGAAAAGAGGGUUGUCAAAAAGAAAAUAUGGAGAAAGAGGAGGCAGGGAAGUUGCAUUCAGCAGAGAAUUACAAAGGUAAACAACUUCCACCAGGGAUGAAAGUAAAGAAGAGAGUUUCAGAUGAGGAGAGAAACAUUCCCAAAGCUAACGGUGUGGAAGAAAUGACAGAUAAAGGGCAAGACAAGACUAAAGAGAACCACACUGAGCAGAAAGAAGCAGAAAAAACAAUUUCUACCUCCAGUGUCAAGGCUGUUCAACCGGAGAAAGUGAGUCAGGCCUCACAGGAUCCUCACCGCUUGCCCCGGCAACCCACCCAUGGUAAUACCUGUCUGAUGGAAAAAACUAACUGUGCUGUAAAAGAGAGUGUCUCUAAAUCUUCACCAAGUAGCACCCUGCCUUCCAGAGACUCUGAUACCACCAGGAACCCCACAUCCACCAAACCAACACAACCAGAGUCCAAUCAGAUCAAAAACCAUCAAGAUGAUGAUGAUGAUGAUGAUGUAGUGGUGGUGUCAGUGAAACCUGCUACAAACAAAACUGCUCCUGUUGCUGCUGUUCAAAAGACUCUCACCACGUUCGCUGGGUUUCAGCCAGCGUCUAAGGUCAAAGCUCGGCAGCAAGAUCCCCAAGGCCUGCACAGCAUGCUCAGUGCUCAGCUCCAACAGAAAAAGUCGAUUCUGUCUACGGUGAACGUGGCCGCUCUGCCAGACAAAGGGGACAGGCUGAGGAGUCAGGUGAAAGAGCUGGAGGACGCACUGGAGUCUCUGAGCCUCACUGCUGCUACUCAGCCUGGGUCGCAGAGCGGACAUAACAGCAGUGAUGCAAGUCCAGGUAGCAGCCAGGUUAACCCAUUCAGCCGGCAAGGCGGCACCAUCCUCAUCCCCCCCACCCUCCGAAUGCAGGGCCCCUCCCAACACCAGGCCUCCAGCAGCUCCCUGGGGCUCCAGCUGAGCCAAGGAUACACCCAGACAUAUGGAGCUGACUCACAGGUCCAGGCCUUUUACGGUGGCAGGAUGACUCAGGACCGUAUGCUGGCGGUGAAAAACGCCACCUGCGAAGCUAUCGACCAUCUCCACAAAUCCUUGGAGUCCUGUCCUGACGCGGAGGCCGAGGUUCCGGACCCCAAGGGCAUCAAGGUGACACUCCUGGCCCAUCAGAGGAGAGCUUUGGCCUGGCUGCUCUGGAGAGAAACACAGAACCCCUGUGGAGGAAUUCUGGCGGAUGACAUGGGUCUGGGGAAAACCCUGACCAUGAUUGCUCUCAUACUGGGCAAGAAGACCAAAGCAAAAGAGGAGGCUGAAAAGAAGGAAGAGAAGUCAGAGGGCUGGAUGUCCAAAACUGACUCUAGUGUCGUGGUGUCUAAAGGCACUCUGAUCAUCUGUCCUGCCUCCCUCAUCCAUCACUGGGAGAGAGAGAUCGGCAGACAUGUUAAGACAGGCAAGCUAACUGUCUACCUGUACCACGGCCCCAACCGCGAGAAGAGCGCCAAAGUGCUGGCAGAUUACGACGUGGUGGUGACCACAUACAGUUUGGUGUCAAAGGAGAUCCCGGUCCAGAAGGAGGAUGCAGAGAAACCCAGCAAAGAUACUGUGCCUUUGCGCGCAGCUCCUCUCCUGCGAGUGACCUGGGCCCGGGUGGUUCUGGACGAAGCCCACAACAUCAAAAACCCAAAAGUUCAGACCUCCAUGGCUGUUUGUCAGCUGAGGGCUCGUGCACGCUGGGCUGUGACUGGAACACCGAUCCAGAACAACCUGCUGGACAUGUACUCACUGCUCAAGUUUUUGCGUUGUUCUCCGUUUGAUGAGUACAAACUGUGGAAAGCUCAGGUGGACAACGGCUCCAAGAGAGGCAGAGAGAGACUCAACAUCCUGACGAGGACUCUGCUGCUCCGACGAACCAAAGACCAGCAGGACUCUACAGGAAAACCACUGGUGUCUCUUCCUGAUCGGACCUGCGAGGUACAUCAGCUCAAACUGUCCCAGGAUGAACAGUCGGUCUACGAUGUGAUCUUCGCUCAAUCCAGAUCGACUCUGCAAAACUACCUGAAGAGACAUGAAGGAAAUGAUGUGAAAAAGGGAAAUGCUUCCAGUUCCAAUCCCUUCGAAAAAGUGGCCCAGGAGUUCGGUAUGUCCCAGGCCGACCCUGCCUUGUCGAGUUCCCAGCAGCCCCAGCAGGCAUCCAGCACCGUCCACAUCCUGUCCCUGCUGCUGCGCCUCCGGCAGUGCUGCUGUCACCUGUCACUUCUUAAGAAGACUCUGGACACGUCGGAGCUGCAGGGCGACGGGAUCGUCUUGUCUCUGGAGGAGCAACUCAACGCUCUGUCACUCUCCUCCAGCCCCUCGCCAUCGGGGCCCGACCCCAAAGACACCGUGGCCCUCAAUGGCACCCGCUUCCCCUCACAGCUGUUUGAGGACACCAGUGAGAGCACCAAGAUUGCUGCUAUUGUCUCUGAGCUGAAGGCAAUCAGACAGAAGUGUGAUGAUCAGAAAAGCGUGAUCGUGUCUCAGUGGACCAGCAUGCUAAAAAUCGUAGCCGUUCAUCUGAAGCAGAUCGGCCUGAGAUACGGAGUUAUCGACGGGUCUGUGAACCCCAAACACCGCAUGGACCUGGUGGAAGAAUUCAACACGAACCCUAAUGGGCCACAGGUGAUGCUGGUGUCUCUUUGUGCCGGAGGGGUCGGGCUGAAUCUCAUCGGUGGGAAUCACCUGUUUCUCAUUGACAUGCACUGGAACCCGGCGUUGGAGGAUCAGGCCUGUGACCGAAUCUACAGAGUUGGACAACGUAAAGACGUCACCAUCCACAGGUUUGUGUGUGAUGGCACAGUGGAGGAUAAAAUCUCCACCCUGCAGGCAAAGAAGAAGGAGCUGGCCCAAAACGUGCUGUCGGGAACAGGAAGCACCUUCUCCAAACUCUCCCUAGCUGAUCUCAGGGUCAUUUUUGGUGUCUGAGAUGGGGAAGAACCUCCAAACCAAACAGCUGUUCAUACAUUUACCCAGAAAUCAGGGUUUAAAGUCAAGUCUGAAAAAUCUUGAAAUAAACUAAUAAGACUAAGUUUAUCCAGAAGCAUUUUGCCUGCGACCUAACUGCUCUACAGAAUGUUAUUUGACUCAGUGUACUUGUUUUAAGACUUCCCUGUAUUUUCUUAUUUGUCUCUAAUUUAACGGAUUUGUUUUAACAGUAUUUAAGUUAGCAUUAAAUUCAACGUACUGUAUCAUCCAUUCUGACACUCUGUAACUCGGUUUACAUGUUGUUUUUGCCCAGAUUUUUUUCCUGGAAUGCAAAAUUGUUUACUUGAUUACCAUGAUGUUUUGUUAUCUCAUUCUU